UAGAGUGAGAAUUUUUGAUUUUGGGUUUUAUGUGGAGAGAUGAUGAAAUCAAGUUUUGAGAGUGAAGAUUGAAGGAGUAAUGGAUGAAUAAUGAGUUGGAUGAUUGAUUUUAACAAGAAAAUGAGUAAAAGAUGAAGAGAUUUGAGAAAGAAAAAUGGAGAACACUAUUCACGCGGGAAUGGAAUGAGGAUGGAAUGAUGAAGAACAAGUAAAGAAAUCAUGAUGGAGAAGUGUUUAAUGAAGAUGAAAUGCAUGGGUAUUAGUUUGAAUGGUUGAUUUGGGCAUAAAAAUGGAUGAAAAAUGAAGAA
rnacentral:lncRNA from 1 species